rfam:Chlamydomonas reinhardtii strain CC-503 cw92 mt+ CHLREscaffold_76 genomic scaffold, whole genome shotgun sequence.
GGCUUGUUAGCUCAGUUGGUUAGAGCGUGGUGCUAAUAACGCCAAGGUCAUCGGUUCGAUCCCGAUACGAGCCA